UUUAAAAAAAAAAAAAAAAAUAAAUAUAAAACUUUUUAAAAUAAAAAGAGGCUAUUUUGGUAAUUUUUCUUAUUAAACGCUAUUUUGUGACAAAAAUUUAAAAAGUGUUAUUUGAAAUAAUUGCCCUAUAAAAAAUGUAAUAAACAAAAACAUGAUAUAAAUGACAUAUCAUAUAAACAACAAUCGUAAACAAGCAAAAUAUAUCUUAUCACAUAUAAUCUCUUCUCACAUAAAACUUUCUAAAAGACAAAAAUCAUUAUUAUAUACAGUUCUUGCAAAUGCAAACCUGAAACACAAAUCAUAAAAUCGUACAAAACUUAAUAACCGUAGAUCACAAUUAAAGUAUAUCCCGCCCGUAGGGCGGGCCGACCCUAGUUAUAUAUAAAGGAGUGUUUACCUCUUUCCUAGGCCCUCCACGUUGGAUCCAGCCUGGAAACUCGCCUCCUGUACGCGUGCCACGUGUCCACCUUCACUACGCGUCUUUCAUUUAAUUUUGAGUGUUUGAUGGGAUUUGAUUGUUUAGGCGGCCCUACAGCCCAUUAUAGGAGACACUAAAUCUAAUGACACGGAAAAGUGGAAUUCGUCUCACCUCUCCCUUCUACGGCGACAUUUUUGACGCCUGAGCUUCUUCCGAAAAAAAAGUAUAUAUGUAAACGGUUUCCUUCCAUGAUUCUUCGUACCUGGCUAAAAUCAUUAAAGCUCUCCUUAACUUCAUCUCCUCCACUCCUUCCAUGAUUCUUCAUUUAAUGCUCACUGCUUCCAGUCGGUGAAUCCACAUAUAUAAAUAGGUGAAUCUUGGUUCUGUAAACUUCAUCAUUCUGUUCUUCACAUCAUAUUAGCUUUAAAACUUUUGUAGAGCACAAUGAGAAAAUCCUCUUGAGCUCUCGCCUCUAAAACUUCCAAUCUUCGUAAAGGAGGAAAGCGGCGGCGAUGGAGGAGAGGAGGAGGAGGAAGGCGGUAAGAAUAAUGAGAAAGCCAUUGAUGAUAGUGAAGAGGAUAAUGAGGAGAGAGUAUUAAUGGAGAGUUCGGCGGAGGUUUCUGCAUAAAUUAGGCCUUCCUAACCACUCUACGUUCUUCUCUGCUGGUUUCAGUUGGUUUGUUUGCAAUUGGGUAUGUGCCUCUCUUUGGGUUUGAAGCGAUGCGUCUGUGUGUCACGAUAGGUCUUUUAGCGAUGCUGGAAGCUUUGAUUUAAAGGCUAUUUCAUCGGCUAGCUUGAAGCAUUGUUAUUUUCCGGUGGUUUCAGAGUUUACCGGCGUGAUUCUAAGUCGGUGGUGAAUUGAUUUAUUGGAAGUGUCUCUCUUUCUCUCAAGAUCGUUUAAUUUUCCUCCUUCUAUAUAUUUCAUGGAAGGAUUUUGUUUGUAGUGCCUCUCUAAUCUCAUUUGAUGUAUUUUCGUAGAUUUUCUUCCCUGCGUUGACUAAGAUAACAGUGGCUCUCGGUCCUAACGGUGGCUCUAUUACUGACGCUGAUUAUCACCAUGAGACACUUGAUAAUCUGCAAAUUGUUGGUGGUGAGGACCAUUUAGAUGAUGAGGGGCAGUUAAUCUCUCUGUGGACUCAAACCAAAUUGUAAACAACAAUGGUCCAUAUAACACCAAUAGGUGAGAUGCUUCUGCAACAAUCGAAGGCUGUUCAGAAGUGUCCGAACCAAUUCCUCCGCAAAUUGAUCAACUGGUCAACACGAAGAAACUAUAAAGGAUCCUGAUCACUCCAACUAUGGAGACAAUGAAGCUGGCCAAAAAUUUUCCCAAUUCCAUUUCGAGUUCCUAAGUUUUCACCCUUCACUGAAAAGGUAGUUGUCUUGCAACUUUUUAAUUAUUCAGUUCUGGUUUUCGUUUGUUCGAGUAUAAUUGGUACACAUGGUAACUUUAGUAAUUAUGUUGUUAUGAAAGUUUUUUGUUAACCAGAUGUUUGGUUUCGUAA